ACGGGUGAGUAACACGUGGGUGAUCUGCCUCGCACUUCGGGAUAAGCCUGGGAAACUGGGUCUAAUACCGGAUAUGACCUUUCAGUGCAUGCUGUUGGGUGGAAAGAUUUAUCGGUGCGAGAUGGGCCCGCGGCCUAUCAGCUUGUUGGCGGGGUAACGGCCCACCAAGGCGACGACGGGUAGCCGACCUGAGAGGGUGACCGGCCACACUGGGACUGAGACACGGCCCAGACUCCUACGGGAGGCAGCAGUGGGGAAUAUUGCACAAUGGGCGAAAGCCUGAUGCAGCGACGCCGCGUGAGGGAUGACGGCCUUCGGGUUGUAAACCUCUUUCGACAGGGACGAAGCGCAAGUGACGGUACCUGUAGAAGAAGCACCGGCCAACUACGUGCCAGCAGCCGCGGUAAUACGUAGGGUGCGAGCGUUGUCCGGAAUUACUGGGCGUAAAGAGCUUGUAGGCGGUUUGUCGCGUC
rnacentral:rRNA from 1 species